GAUGAACGCUGGCGGCGUGCCUAAUACAUGCAAGUCGAGCGAACGGACGAGAAGCUUGCUUCUCUGAUGUUAGCGGCGGACGGGUGAGUAACACGUGGAUAACCUACCUAUAAGACUGGGAUAACUUCGGGAAACCGUAGCUAAUACCGGAUAAUAUUUUGAACCGCAUGGUUCAAAAGUGAAAGACGGUCUUGCUGUCACUUAUAGAUGGAUCCGCGCUGCAUUAGCUAGUUGGUAAGGUAACGGCUUACCAAGGCAACGAUGCAUAGCCGACCUGAGAGGAUGAUCGGCCACACUGGAACUGAGACACGGUCCAGACUCCUACGGGAGGCAGCAGUAGGGAAUCUUCCGCAAUGGGCGCAAGCCUGACGGAGCAACGCCGCGUGAGUGAUGAAGGUCUUCGGAUCGUAAAACUCUGUUAUUAGGGAAGAACAUAUGUGUAAGUAACUGUGCACAUCUUGACGGUACCUAAUCAGAAAGCCACGGCUAACUACGUG
rnacentral:rRNA from 1 species